UUUUAUUUUUUCUAUUGAAAUUCUUAUUUCGCUGUUUAGAAUUCAUGCGGUUAGGUUUUAAACUAUCAGAAACUUCGCUGGGGAGCUCGAGGACGACGACGCCGAGGAUCUCCAUUUCCUACUGCCGCCGCGGGUGGUGGUUGGCCCUGAUGAGAACAGGGUGAAGAAGGUGAUCGAGUACCGGUUCGACGACGCGGACAACAAGGUGAGGGUGACGACGACGACGACGCGGACAACAAGGUGAGGGUGACGACGACGACGACGCGCGCCCUCCUCAGCAAGCACGCUCUCGAACGCCGGUCGUGGCCCAAGUUCGGCGACACCGCCCGCGAGGAAGUCGGUGCCCGUCUCACCAUGGUCUCCAACGAGGAGAUCCUCCUCGAGCGGCUGCGAGCUCCGGCCAUCAGCAACAUCUGUGGCUCAGCAUCCUACUCCUGAAGAGGCUCCCCCACAAGCUCCAUCACAAACUCAAUCAGAAUCUCCAGCACAACCUAUGUCAAUAUUCUUAGUUGUACUAUUAUUCUUUAUAUGCAAGCUUGUACGAUAACUGUCGCAGCUUCUUGAUUGAUACUUGAGCCUCUGCCAUCUGGCCUUUUUACAAUCUUGUUUCAGUGUAGCAGAGAAUUCAUCAAGUGCACAUGCUAGAUAUCAAGGCCCAAAUGCAGAGUCAUCAAGCAUUCAAAUGGAUGUAACCUUGCUGCAGGUAUUUGAUAUUUGGAGUCUAGGGUGCGCUAUCUUGGAGAUGGCUACAUCAAAGUCACCUUGGAGUCAAUAUGAAGGGGCUGUUACUUAAAUUUUGAGAGCAUGCAAAAUUUAUUUAGGGUGCUACUUUGAUAUUUUAACUGUAUUGAUGUGAAAUUCAGAAAGCAUCUUCUUUUACUAGUCUCCUUAUAUAAACUCUGUAUUUAAGAAACUUUAUAUAAACUUUCUGUAUUUAAGCUUAAUGGAUGACGAUCUUGUUAUAAAAGAU